AUCAUCUGAUAUGGCGGCUCUUCGAGGAGUUCGAUAAAUAUUGUAGGUUAACUAAACGUUUAAUCUGUUCUGUCUGCGGCGGUGGAGAAAUUGCAUACAGUAAACGUUCAAAUCGUGAUCAAGUUGGUAGAGUUUGUUAUAAUUUUACAGUUCAUUUCUGCUAAACCGCAAGCCUGACUUGACUGAAAGGAUGCUGGUGCUCAUCUAGCUAAUAGGCCCAAUGCUAUAUCCCAGCAGUGAAAGGACAGGACUUGUCAAGUCUUGAAAGACGGAGGCUGGAGAUAAUGCAAGAAGUUAAGGAGAGAGAAAACCCUACCGGCAGGAGGUCGUCACCAAUAGCCCACCUGUGAGAGAUAUCCUUGAGCGUUGGCCGGCUCUACGUUUGGAGUCGCAGGUGUAUGCCGAUUUCCAACGGUUCACAAACCAGAACUUGCUGAACAUCUUUUAUGAAGAGCUUGACCACCACACUCUUUAGGUCAC